rnacentral:rRNA from 1 species
UGGGGAAUAUUGGACAAUGGGGGCAACCCUGAUCCAGCAAUGCCGCGUGUGUGAAGAAGGCCUGAGGGUUGUAAAGCACUUUCAGUGGGGAGGAGGAUACUUAGGUUAAGAGCUAGAGUAUUGGACGUUACCCACAGAAGAAGCACCGGCUAACUCCGUGCCAGCAGCCGCGGUAAUACGGAGGGUGCGAGCGUUAAUCGGAAUUACUGGGCGUAAAGGGUGCGUAGGUGGUAAAUUAAGUUAUCUGUGAAAUCCCUGGGCUCAACCUGGGCAGGUCAGAUAAUACUGUUUUACUCGAGUAUGGGAGAGGGUAGUGGAAUUUCCGGUGUAGCGGUGAAAUGCGUAGAGAUCGGAAGGAACACCAGUGGCGAAGGCGGCUACCUGGCCCAAUACUGACACUGAGGCACGAAAGCGUGGGGAGCAAACAGG